rnacentral:ncRNA from 1 species
CAUCGUGAGGUGGAAUCUGAAGGAAGUCGGAUGGCAAACCUCUGGUCUGACGGACAGAAAUCACAUACAAGGCAUGGUAUAUCGGGUAAGGUUGCCAAACAAACUGAAGCCCAAUAACUAUCCGAAGGUAUACUGUGUAAAUGUGGCAGAUAGGUGGAGGGAAAGAUUA